rnacentral:lncRNA from 1 species
AUAUGAGUCCGCCUAUGGUGCUUGUAAAAACACCAAGCACUUGGUGCUUGUAAAAACACCAAGCUUGUGAAUUUUUUACCGUUAAAUUUAUGUCUUUGAUCAUUUUCAUAUGUUAGAUUAUAUUAUUUAACCAACCACCCACUCAACCCAAGGGAGCCCACAUCAUCCUAACCGUACAUCUAUUAAUCCAAGGGCUAAAAAUUUACAAGCACCAAUGACUUGGUACUUUUAAACGCAUAGGAGCUCAAUUCUACGGAAUAUAUUAUUAUUAUCUUUUUAAAAGAUCGAAUUGUCAAAUAU